rnacentral:tRNA from 1 species
GCCCAGGUGGCUCAGUCAGUUGAGCAUCUGACUUCAGCUCAGGUCAGGAUCUUAGUUUGUGGGUUUGAGCCCUGUGUUGGGCU